rnacentral:rRNA from 1 species
AUUGAACGCUGGCGGCAGGCCUAACACAUGCAAGUCGAACGAGUGGCGGACGGGUGAGUAAUGUCUGGGAAACUGCCCGAUGGAGGGGGAUAACUACUGGAAACGGUAGCUAAUACCGCAUACCAUCGGAUGUGCCCAGAUGGGAUUAGCUAGUAGGUGGGGUAACGGCUCACCUAGGCGACGAUCCCUAGCUGGGCUGAGAGGAGGACCAGCCACACGGAAAAUGAGACACCGUUCAGACUCCUACGGGAGGAAGGAGUGGGGAAUAUUGCACAAUGGGCGCAAGUCUGAUGCAGCCAUGCCUGGUGUAUGAAGAAGGCCUUCGGGUUGUAAAGUACUUUCAGCGAGGAGGCGUUACUCGCAGAAGAAGCACCGGCUAACUCCGUGCCAGCCGCCGCGGUAAUAC